rnacentral:sRNA from 1 species
CAGCUAUUUCUUCGGGUAUUGGUUUAGCCACUGGCGCGCCUGAUACCCGCACAGGCGCCCAGCACCCGGGACGCCUGACUGACGCAACACAUGAAAACCCCCGGUCGGCUUCCCGCCCGGGGG